CGGGGCGUAGCGCAGUCUGGUAGCGCACACGGCUGGGGGUCGUGUGGUCGGAAGUUCGAAUCUUCUCGCCCCGACCA
rnacentral:tRNA from 1 species